rnacentral:snRNA from 1 species
ACUAAUUAUGAACCUAAAGAUUAAUAUCAAGUGCAGUAUCUGUUCUUAUCAGUUUAAUAUCUGAUACCACAACUUUCUUAGCCACUCAUC